rnacentral:rRNA from 1 species
UGCCAGCAGCCGCGGUAAUACGGAGGGGGCUAGCGUUGUUCGGAAUUACUGGGCGUAAAGCGCACGUAGGCGGUUUAUCAAGUUGGGCGUGAAAGCCCGGGGCUCAACCUGGGAACUGCAUUCAAAACUGACGAGCUAGAGUAUGGUAGAGGUGAGUGGAAUUUCCUGUGUAGCGGUGAAAUGCGUAGAGAUGGGAAGGAACACCAGUGGCGAAGGCGACUCACUGGACCAAUACUGACACUGAGGUACGAAAGCGUGGGUAGCAAACAGGAUUAGAUA